rnacentral:rRNA from 1 species
ACGUAGGAGACGAGCGUUAUCCGGAUUUACUGGGCGUAAAGCGCGUGCAGGCGGUUUUUUAAGUCACUUGUGAAAGCGCCCAGGCUUAACCGGGCGAGGACAAUGAAGACUGGUCAGCUAGAGGACGGUAGAGGGGUGUGGAAUUCCGGGUGUAGUGGUGAAAUGCGUAGAGAUCCGGAGGAACACCAGAGGCGAAGGCGACACCCUGGGCCGUACCUGACGCUAAGACGCGACAGCACGGGGAGCGAACGG